rnacentral:rRNA from 1 species
AUUGAACGCUGGCGGCAUGCUUUACACAUGCAAGUCGAACGGUAACAGGGUGCUUGCACCGCUGACGAGUGGCGAACGGGUGAGUAAUGCGUCGGAACGUGCCGAGUAGUGGGGGAUAACGCAGCGAAAGUUGUGCUAAUACCGCAUACGUACUGAGGUAGAAAGUGGGGGACCUUCGGGCCUCACGCUAUUCGAGCGGCCGACGUCUGAUUAGCUAGUAGGUGAGGUAAAGGCUCACCUAGGCGACGAUCAGUAGCGGGUCUGAGAGGAUGAUCCGCCACACUGGUGAUGAGACACGGCCCAGACUCCUACGGGAGGCAGCAGUGGGGAAUUUUGGACAAUGGGCGAAAGCCUGAUCCAGCCAUGCCGCGUGUCUGAAGAAGGCCUUCGGGUUGUAAAGGACUUUUGUCGGGGAGGAAAUCCCCAGCGUUAAUACCGCUGGGGGAUGACAGUACCUGAAGAAUAAGCACCGGCUAACUACGUGCCAGCCGCCGCGGUAAGAC